UCAAGCGAUAAAGAGCAUAGGGCGAAUGCCUUGGCACUAGGAGCCGAAGAAGGACGUGAUAAGCUGCGAUAAGCUACGGUAAGGCGCAAAUAGCCAAUAACCCGUAGAUUUCCGAAUGAGGGAACUCAAUUAUGGUAAUGCAUAAUUAUCCUAUGAUGAAUAUAUAGUCAUAGAGAAGGUAACCCGGAGAACUGAAACAUCUAAGUAACCGGAGGAAGAGAAAGAAAAAUCGAUUUUCAAAGUAGCGGCGAGCGAAAUGGAAAGAGCCCAAACCACAGAAGCUGUGGGGUUGUGGACCACCAAAACGAGAAUGAAGUAUAGCCAAAUUGUCUGGAAAGGCAAGACGAAGAGGGUGAAAUCCCCGUAGGCGAAAUGCUAAGUUUUCAGGGUGGCACCAGAGUAGGGCGGGACACGUGAAACCCUGUCUGAAGUAUGGGAGGACCACCUCCUAAGGCUAAAUACUACCUAGUGACCGAUAGAGAACAGUACCGUGAGGGAAAGGUGAAAAGAACCCCGGAAGGGGAGUGAAAUAGAAUCUGAAACCUUAUGCUUACAAGCAGAGGGAGCAAAGAGGGUAGCCUCUAAGUGACCUCGUACUUUUUGUAGAACGGGCCAACGAGUUAUGGUGUGUAGCAAGGUGAAGGCGUGAAGCGCAACAGCCGAAGUGAAAGCGAGCCUUAAUAGGGCGAGAAGUUGCAUGCUGUAGACCCGAAACCGGGUGAUCUAUCCAUGUGCAGGUUGAAGCGAGAGUAAAAUCUCGUGGAGGACCGAACCUGUAUCUGUUGAAAAAGGUUAGGAUGACGUGUGGAUAGGGGUGAAAUUCCAAUCGAACUCGGAGAUAGCUGGUUCUCCUCGAAAUAGCUUUAGGGCUAGCCUCAAGAAAAGAUUAACGGAGGUAGAGCACUGAAUGUUUGCGGGACCUUCACCGGUUACCAAAAACUAUCAAACUCCGAAUGCCGUAUAAUUAUACUUGGGAGUCAGACUAUGUGAGAUAAGUUUCAUAGUCGAAAGGGAAACAGCCCAGACCUACAGCUAAGGUCCCAAAAUAUAAGUUAAGUGGAAAAGGAUGUGAAGUUGCACAAACAGCUAGGAUGUUGGCUUAGAAGCAGCCAUACAUUUAAAGAGUGCGUAACAGCUCACUAGUCGAGUGAUUUUGCGCCGAAGAUAAACGGGGCUAAAACUUAUUACCGAAGCUUGGGAAUUUAAAAUAAAUUGGUAGAGGAGCGUCCUAUGUGGGUUGAAGUUGUGCCGUAAGGCAUGGUGGACUGCAUAGGAGUGAGAAUGUUGGCAUGAGUAGCGAGAGACAGGUGAGAAUCCUGUCGGCCGAAAAUCUAAGGUUUCCUGAGCAAGGUUCGUCCGCUCAGGGUUAGUCGGGACCUAAGCUGAGGGCGAAAGCCAUAGGCGAUGGACAACAGGUUGAUAUUCCUGUACCACCGAUAGUCGUUAAGAGUGAAGUGGGGACACAGAAGGAUAGGUUAAGCGUGCCGUUGGUAGAGCACGUACAAGCGUUAAGGUAGUUGCAGCAGGCAAAUCCACUGCAAUAAUACUGAGGCGUUAUGUGGAGGGAAAUUAAGUACCGGAAGUGACUGAUUUCAUGCUGUCAAGAAAAUCCGCUAGCAAGACUAAAGGUGCCCGUACCGCAAACCGACACAGGUAGAUGAGGAGAGAAUCCUAAGGCCAGCGAGAUAACUAUUGUUAAGGAACUCGGCAAAAUAACCCCGUAACUUUGGGAGAAGGGGUACCUACGCAAGUAGGUCGCAGUGAAUAGGCCCAGGCGACUGUUUAGCAAAAACACAGGUCUCUGCAAAAGCGAAAGCUGAAGUAUAGGGGCUGACGCCUGCCCAGUGCUGGAAGGUUAAGGUGAAGUGUAAGGGUAACCGAAGCACAGAACUUAAGCCCCAGUAAACGGCGGCCGUAACUAUAACGGUCCUAAGGUAGCGAAAUUCCUUGUCAGGUAAG
rnacentral:rRNA from 1 species